GGCGGUUCAGCGAACGGUGCUCGUUGCUUUUUUCCUUUCAUAUACAAGGGGGUGACAUACAAGUCUUGCACCAACAGGGAUCAUAAUCAGUUGUGGUGUGCCACCAGAUCAGGAAACUAUAUAGAACACAAGCAAUGGGGAAACUGCCAAUGUGGAUAUCCACCUGAGCCUCCAGGGCAAGACGUGUGCAAAGACAAGUUUUCGAACGUUUUAUGUGCUUUCCUAAAGAAGAACGGAAGAUGCGAGACGUGGAGUGUGCGCAAUGCAUGUAGCCUCACAUGCCAAGCGUGCAGCUACAACGGUUGAAUUUCAGAGUGAAGAUUUGCGUCAUCACAAGUCACUGGUUGACUGUGAACUUUGCUUUAGUGUUGUUCUGUCUGUUUUUGUCUAGUCAAUAAGAUUCUUUUAAUCUAAUUUGUUGGAAGAGACAGUGGCGAUGAUUUGUUCGUAGUGGCUGCGUUGCAUA